rnacentral:SRP_RNA from 1 species
CGCACUAGUCGGGGAGAUAGCGGUGCCCUGUGACCUGCAAUCCGCUAUAGCAGGGAUGAACUCCCAUACCCGGGUUCGUGCUGUUUUGCUGUCCGAAUAAGCGGUGUUGAGGCAUCGGUCUUGCGCAACGGGCUCCCGUGAACCAUGUCAGGCGGGGAACCGAGCAGCAUUAAGCGGAUCUGUCCGUGUGCCGCAAGGACGCCGCUGCUGAGCUGGCUGUUCGGGAA